GUUUGUUUUAAGUGGGAAGGACGGAAGUUUUGUUCUGUUCGAUCAUGUGAAGUUAGCUGAAACGAAGGUAUUUGCUAGUUAAACUGCUAGCGUACUCUACUUUAAAUGUUUGUCAGGAUCAGGAAUUGUAUGAGUGUUGCUUUAAACUGAAUGAGAAGUAAUAUUUGUUAACCAAUGAAAACGCGUCRUGAUGUCCGAGUAGCUACGUCGCCAGUAGCUAACUCGGCUAGCGUUAUCACGUUGUUUUUAUACGAUGCUGAAACAAAUGUGUAUUUGGCUCUUAAAUGUAUCCCAUAACCGUGGGAUUGAGGAAAAGUCGCAAGUAGUGUUACGGUGGGCCUUUCUGGAUGGACGGACAACGAMAUUUGACGGUUUGAAAUGCGGCCACGAGCAUCUGGAAGUGGAUGGAUCUAAACCUGCAGAGCUUCAAAAGCAAAGGCUGUCUUGAUCUAAAAUUUCUUUAUUUCAUAAGGCUGCAGAGUGGAGGACAGCGKCAGGAGGUUUGGAGGCCAAAAUGUAUCCUGUCAACCAGUUUUCCUUUUCAGUAGGUUUAUGCUGGUACAGCCUUUUUGUUUUAAUGAUAAAUUGAAUGCACUUUUUUGUAUGUUCUUAUAUUUAAUAAUAAUAAAGAAUGUGAUGUAAUUUAAAAAAAACCUUUGAAUAAGUUGAUUUUAUAUUUACUUUCUUGUCAGAGCUACACUUACAGUGAGUCAUUAUGAAAUGUCACUAUCUUGUAUUUGUUUUACAGCUUUCCAUGUUUUUUGGUUUUUAGGUGGUUUUGCAAUUUGUGGUUAAAUUAUAUUCUGAAAGUUWUAGGAAACUUUGCAUGGAAAAAUAAACAUCCAACGCUAAUA